rnacentral:rRNA from 1 species
AUUGAAAGUUUUUCGGUUUGGAAGGGCCUAUGGUUCCAUCAUCUAGUUGGCGGGGUACGGCCCUCCAAGGCUAUGACGGAUACCAGGCGCGAGAGCGUGACCUUGGCUCAUUGGAACUGAGACACUGUCCCAAACACCUACGGGUGGCUGCAGUCGAGAAUAUUCCUCAAUGCACGAAAGUGUGAUGGAGCGACGCCGCGUGUCAAAAGAAGGCCUUCGGGUCGUAAAUGACUUUUCUCAGGGACGAAUUUAUGUCGGUACCUGAGGAAUAAGGGGUUGCUAACUCUGUGCCAGCAGCAGCGGUAAUACAGAGACCCCAAGCAUUAUCCGGAUUUAUUGGGCGUAAAGCGUACGUAGGCGGUUUCGUAAGUCAUCUGUUAAAUCUUCAGGCUUAACCUGGAGGCUUCGGGUGAUGCUUCGAGGCUUGAGUAUGGGAGAGGUAAGCGGAAUCCCCGGUGUAACGGUAAAAUGCGUUAAUAUCGGGUAGACCGCCAAAUGGGAAGGCAGCUUUGUGGAACAUUUCUGCCGCUCAGUGUACGCAAGCGUGGGUAGCGAACGGGAUUAGAUACCCCUGUACUCCACACCGUAAACCAUGCCAACUAGUUUCUGGGAUCAUCCACCCUCCCAGAAACGACAACCCACACUAACGCGUUAAGUUCUCCUCCUGGGAAGUACGGUAGCAAGGAUAAAGAUCCAAGG